AUUGAACGCUGGCGGCAUGCCUUACACAUGCAAGUCGAACGGCAGCACGGGCUUCGGUCUGGUGGCGAGUGGCGAACGGGUGAGUAAUGUAUCGGAACGUACCAUUGAGUGGGGGAUAACGUAGCGAAAGUUACGCUAAUACCGCAUAUUCUCUCCGGAGGAAAGCAGGGGACCGCAAGGCCUUGCGCUCUUUGAGCGGCCGAUAUCAGAUUAGCUAGUUGGUGGGGUAAAAGCUCACCAAGGCGACGAUCUGUAGCGGGUCUGAGAGGAUGAUCCGCCACACUGGAACUGAGAAACGGUCCAGACUCCUACGGGAGGCAGCAGUGGGGAAUUUUGGACAAUGGGGGCAACCCUGAUCCAGCCACGCCGCGUGAGUGAAGAAGGCCUUCGGGUUGUAAAGCUCUUUCGGCCGGGAAAAAAUCGCAUGAGUUAAUACCUUGUGUGGAUGAUGGUACCGGAAUAAGAAGCACCGGCUAACUACGUGCCAGCAGCCGCCGUAA
rnacentral:rRNA from 1 species